rnacentral:lncRNA from 1 species
UUUUGAACAAUCAGGUGUUGGCGUGAUGUCAUCAGGGCCUGGGUAUGGUUACAACCAAGCCCAGUUUUCAUCAGGCCAUUCAACUCAGCGUGCUAUGAUGAUGCGUCAGAAAUCCAUGGGAGGGACCGAGGAGGAGAGGGUACAUCUCCAUCCUCCUACUAUGAAGCUGUCUCGUAGUCUUUCUGUGCCUGGACCAGAGGACAUCCCCCCUCCACCCGACACCUCAGCGCCUGAGCCUCCCCUGUCUGCCGGUGGCCACACAGACAGGAGAGCAGCACCAACACAUUUUUAUGCUGUUCCUCCUCUGCCUCCAUCACACCACCUGCCUCAUAGCCAGACACAGCACAGGGUCCCGCCCAACCGCAGGGCUGAAACUGAUACCAGCAAGAUGGGAGGAGCAAGAAUGGGCGGCCUGAGGCGUGGCUAUAGCAAUGCCGUGCCUCCCUCUGAUGUGGGCCCCAAGCAGUCUACAGCACAGCGGAACCAAGCGCCAACGGUGGCCAAGAUUGCAGGUCGGCAAGGUGGGAAAGGGAUGUUGGUAAAGCAGCGCAAGGUGGAGGAGACUGGCAGAGGAAAGUUGGAAAAAAGUUCCAUUUCGAUCCCAACUAUUAUUGUGAAAGCGCCUUCUACCAGCAGCUCUGGGCACAGUAGCCGUGCGAGCAGUGAGGAUACAGAGCCGUCUCCUGAGAAUAAUGAAGACCAGGAAGAGGCAAAGCCUCAAAACCCAGUUGUGGCUCCUACGCCCGCUCCACCUCCACCACCAAAUAUCCCAUCAAAACUGGAAACACUGGGCAAGAGCAAAGCACAGCGGGAACGUGAAUGCUACCGUGACUCCCGUCGGAGAAGCACCUCGUUCUAUUACUCCUCUGAGGAGGACAUGUUAGAUGAGCAGGAGUCUGCUCAGACUUCAUUGGAGGCCAAUACCUCCGCUCGUUUACGCCCUUCUAAAUCUAUCGAUGAGGGAUUGAUCUCCGGUGAUGCCUUAAGCAUGCCACCUGCGUUUGGGUUGCCACAGUAUGCAUCAGCUACACCUCAUCAAGCCACUACCUUCAUCCACCCAUUGACGGGGAAGGUUCUAGACCCAACAAGCCCACUUGGACUCGCAUUGGCUGCACGCGAGCGAGCGCUGAAAGACGACCACCGUACUCGUAGAGAGGAACGCCACUUUGGUCGGCAGCUGUCCAGCACCGGAGCUUUUCCUUCUGCGGUCUCCACUCCAAACCAAAAACCUGUUCCUCCAUUCUACAUCUACCAAUCAAACACCUCACUCUACCUUGGUGGUGCCUCUCCAACAACAAGUGGGCCAGUCCCACAGAGUCGCCCCCAGUCUCCUCGGAUGCUUCGAUUAAUUGGUGGUGGGACGGGGAGCUUGGAAUGGAGUGAACAGAAUAUUGUGGAUAGAGAGGAAAGAGGAGCACCAAAGGUGCGGUUUACAGACAAUCAAGCCAGUCAGCACCAGUCUCACCUUCAGGACAGAGACAACAGAGCCAAUCAGUACCACACUUACAUGCGGG